CCUACGGGUGGCAGCAGUGAGGAAUAUUGGUCAAUGGGCGGGAGCCUGAACCAGCCAAGUCGCGUGAGGGAAGAUGGUCCUACGGAUUGUAAACCUCUUUUGCCGGGGAGCAACGGGGUCCUUGCGAGGGCCCAAUGAGAGUACCCGGAGAAAAAGCAUCGGCUAACUCCGUGCCAGCAGCCGCGGUAAUACGGAGGAUCCGAGCGUUAUCCGGAUUUAUUGGGUUUAAAGGGAGCGUAGGUGGAUUGUUAAGUCAGUUGUGAAAGUUUGCGGCUCAACCGUAAAAUUGCAGUUGAAACUGGCAGUCUUGAGUACAGUAGAGGUGGGCGGAAUUCGUGGUGUAGCGGUGGAAUGCUUAGAUAUCACGAAGAACUCCGAUUGCGAAGGCAGUUCACUGGACUGCAACUGACACUGAGGCUCGAAAGUGUGGGUAUCAAACAGGAUUAGAUACCCGAGUAGUC
rnacentral:rRNA from 1 species